rnacentral:rRNA from 1 species
UACAGGGGGUGCAACGUUGCUCGGAAUCAUUGGGCGUAAAGCGCACGUAGGCGGUUCGUUAUGUCGGAUGUGAAAGCCCUUGGCUUAACCGAGGAAGUGCAUCCGAAACUGGCGAGCUAGAGUACUAAAGAGGAUCGCGGAAUUCCCGGUGUAGAGGUGAAAUUCGUAGAUAUCGGGAGGAACACCGGUGGCGAAGGCGGCGAUCUGGGUAGAUACUGACGCUGAGGUG